rnacentral:rRNA from 1 species
UACGGAGGGUGCAAGCGUUAAUCGGAAUUACUGGGCGUAAAGCGCGCGUAGGCGGCUUGGCAAGCUGGAUGUGAAAGCCCUGGGCUCAACCUGGGAACUGCAUCCAGAACUGCUUGGCUAGAGUAUGGUAGAGGGUAGUGGAAUUUCCGGUGUAGCGGUGAAAUGCGUAGAUAUCGGAAGGAACACCAGUGGCGAAGGCGGCUACCUGGACCAAUACUGACGCUGAGGUGCGAAAGCGUGGGGAGCAAAC